rnacentral:rRNA from 1 species
AGUGAACGCUGGCGGUAGGCCUAACACAUGCAAGUCGAACGGCAGCACAGUAAGAGCUUGCUCUUACGGGUGGCGAGUGGCGGACGGGUGAGGAAUACAUCGGAAUCUACUUUUUCGUGGGGGAUAACGUAGGGAAACUUACGCUAAUACCGCAUACGACCUACGGGUGAAAGCAGGGGAUCUUCGGACCUUGCGCGAUUGAAUGAGCCGAUGUCGGAUUAGCUAGUUGGCGGGGUAAAGGCCCACCAAGGCGACGAUCCGUAGCUGGUCUGAGAGGAUGAUCCGCCACCCUGGAACUGAGACACGGUCCAGACUCCUACGGGAGGCAGCAGUGGGGAAUAUUGGACAAUGGGCGCAAGCCUGAUCCAGCCAUACCGCGUGGGUGAAGAAGGCCUUCGGGUUGUAAAGCCCUUUUGUUGGGAAAGAAAAGCAGCAGGUUAAUACCCCGCUGUUCUGACGGUACCCAAAGAAUAAGCACCGGCUACCUUCGUG